AGUGAACGCUGGCGGCAGGCCUAACACAUGCAAGUCGAGCGGCAGAAGGGAGCUUGCUCCUUGUUUCGGCGGCGGACGGGUGAGCAAGUCCUGAGAAUCUGCCUAGUUGCGUGUUAUAACGGGCGAACGCAGGCGCUAAUACGCCAUUAGUGCAGACGGCGUAAGGGUGGGAGCUUCGGACCUCCCGCUAUUACAUGAGCCUAGGUCGGAUUAGCUAGUUGGUGGGGUAAAGGCCUACCAAGGCGACGAUCCGUAACUGGUCUGAGAGGAUGAUCAGUCACACUGGAACUGAGACACGGUCCAGACUCCUACGGGAGGCAGCAGUGGGGAAUAUUGGACAAAGGGCGAAAGCCUGAUCCAGCCAUGCCGCGUGUGUGAAGAAGGUCUUCGGAUUGUAAAGCACUUUUAGUGGGGAAGAAGAGCAGUAAGUUAAUACCUUGCUGUUUUGACGGUACCAACAGAAUAAGCACCGGCUAACUUCGUG
rnacentral:rRNA from 1 species